rnacentral:rRNA from 1 species
GACGAACGCUGGCGGCGUGCCUAAUACAUGCAAGUCGAGCGAACAGACGAGGAGCUUGCUCCUCUGACGUUAGCGGCGGACGGGUGAGUAACACGUGGAUAACCUACCUAUAAGACUGGGAUAACUUCGGGAAACCGGAGCUAAUAGCGGAGAAUAUAUUGAAGCGCAUGGGUCAAUAGUGAAAGACGGUUGUGGUGUCACUUAUAGAUGGAUCCGCGCCGCAUUAGCUAGUUGGUAAGGUAACGGCUUACCAAGGCAACGAUGCGUAGCCGACCUGAGAGAGUGAUCGGCCACACUGGAGGUGAGACACGGUCCAUACUCCUACGGGAGGCAGCAGUAGCGAAUCUUCCGCAAUGGGCGAGAGCCUGACGGAGCAACGCGGCGUGAGUGAUGACGAUCUUCGGAUCGUGAAACUCUGUUAUUAGGGAAGAACAAAUGUGUCAGUAGCUGUGCACGUCUUGACGGUACCUAAUCAGAAAGCCACGGCUAACUACGUG